rnacentral:rRNA from 1 species
AUUGAACGCUGGCGGCAGGCCUAACACAUGCAAGUCGAGCGAGCGGCGGACGGGUGAGUAAUGUAUGGGGACUUCCCGAUAGAGGGGGAUAACUACUGGAAACGGUGGCUAAUACCGCAUACUAUCGGAUAACCCAUAUGGGAUUAGCUAGUGGGUGGGGUAAAGGCUCACCUAGGCGACGAUCUCUAGCUGGUCUGAGAUGAUGAUCAGCCACACUGGGAAUGCGAAACGGCCCAAACUCCUACGGAGGCAGCAGUGGGGUAAAUGGCAAAAUGGGCGCAAGCCUGAUGAGGCCAAGCCGGGUGAAUGAAGAAGGCCUUAGGGUUGUAAAGUACGUUCAGCGGGGAGGCGUUACCCGGAGAAGAAGCACCGGCUAACUCCGUGCCAGCAGCCGCGGUAAUAC